rnacentral:rRNA from 1 species
UACGUAGGUGGCGAGCGUUGUCCGGAUUUACUGGGCGUAAAGGGAGCGUAGGCGGACUUUUAAGUGAGAUGUGAAAUACUCGGGCUCAACUUGAGUGCUGCAUUUCAAACUGGAAGUCUAGAGUGCAGGAGAGGAGAAUGGAAUUCCUAGUGUAGCGGUGAAAUGCGUAGAGAUUAGGAAGAACACCAGUGGCGAAGGCGAUUCUCUGGACUGUAACUGACGCUGAGGCUUGAAAGCGUGGGGAGCAAACAGG